GAUGAACGCUAGCUACAGGCUUAACACAUGCAAGUCGAGGGGCAGCAUGAACUUAGCUUGCUAAGUUUGAUGGCGACCGGCGCACGGGUGAGUAACACGUAUCCAACCUGCCGAUGACUCGGGGAUAGCCUUUCGAAAGAAAGAUUAAUACAAGAUGGCAUCAUGAGUCCGCAUGUUCACAUGAUUAAAGGUAUUCCGGUAGACGAUGGGGAUGCGUUCCAUUAGAUAGUAGGCGGGGUAACGGCCCACCUAGUCUUCGAUGGAUAGGGGUUCUGAGAGGAAGGUCCCCCACAUUGGAACUGAGACACGGUCCAA
rnacentral:rRNA from 1 species